GGGCCCUUAGCUCAGCCCGGUUAGAGCGGCAGACUCUUAAUCUGCGCGUCACAGGUUCGAAUCCUGUAGGGCCCA
rnacentral:tRNA from 1 species